GACGAACGCUGGCGGCGUGCUUAACACAUGCAAGUCGAGCGGUAAGGCCCUUUCGGGGUACGACGAGCGGCGAACGGGUGAGUAACACGUGGGUGACCUGCCCUCAGCUCUGGGAGUAAGCCUGGGAAACCGGGUACUAUACUGGAUAUGACUCCAUGACGCAUGUUGGUGGGGUGGAAAGCCUUGUGCGGCUGAGGAUGGGCCCGCGGCCUAUCAGCUUGUU
rnacentral:rRNA from 1 species